rnacentral:rRNA from 1 species
UACGAAGGGGGGCUAGCGUUGCUCGGAAUCACUGGGCGUAAAGCGCACGUAGGCGGCUUUCUAAGUCAGGGGUGAAAUCCUGGAGCUCAACUCCAGAACUGCCUUUGAUACUGGAGAGCUUGAGUCCGGAAGAGGUGAGUGGAACUCCGAGUGUAGAGGUGAAAUUCGUAGAUAUUCGGAAGAACACCAGUGGCGAAGGCGGCAUCCUGGACCGGCAUUGACGCUGAGGAGCGAAAGCUAGGGGAGCAAACGGG